rnacentral:rRNA from 1 species
GAUGAACGCUGGCGGCGUGCCUAAUACAUGCAAGUCGAGCGAACAGAUGAGGAGCUUGCUCCUCUGACGUUAGCGGCGGACGGGUGAGUAACACGUGGAUAACCUACCUAUAAGUCUGGGAUAACUUCGGGAAACCGGAGCUAAUACCGGAUAAUAUAUUGAACCGCAUGGUUCAAUAGUGAAAGACGGUUUUGCUGUCACUUAUAGAUGGAUCCGCGCCGCAUUAGCUAGUUGGUAAGGUAACGGCUUACCAAGGCAACGAUGCGUAGCCGACCUGAGAGGGUGAUCGGCCACACUGGAACUGAGACACGGUCCAGACUCCUACGGGAGGCAGCAGUAGGGAAUCUUCCGCAAUGGGCGAAAGCUUGACGGAGCAACGCCGCGUGAGUGAUGAAGGUCUUCGGAUCGUAAAACUCUGUUAUUAGGGAAGAACAAAUGUGUAAGUAACUAUGCACGUCUUGACGGUACCUAAUCAGAAAGCCACGGCUAACUACGUG